GGAUGANNGCUGGCGGCGUGCUUAACACAUGCAAGUCGAACGGAGAUAUCAUUUUCGAAGCGACUAGUUUACUAAGAGUGGAGAUGUUGGUAUCUUAGUGGCGGACGGGUGAGUAACGCGUGGGUAACCUGCCUUACACUGGGGGAUAACACUUAGAAAUAGGUGCUAAUACCGCAUAACAGGGAAAGAUGCAUGUCUUUUCCUUGAAAACUCCGGUGGUGUAAGAUGGACCCGCGUCUGAUUAGCUGGUUGGCGGGGUAACGGCCCACCAAGGCGACGAUCAGUAGCCGGCCUGAGAGGGUGAACGGCCACAUUGGGACUGAGACACGGCCCAAACUCCUACGGGAGGCAGCAGUGGGGAAUAUUGGACAAUAGGGGGAACCCUGAUCCAGCGACGCCGCGUGAGUGAAGAAGUAUUUCGGUAUGUAAAGCUCUAUCAGCAGGGAAGAAAGAAAUGACGGUACCUGACUAAGAAGCCCCGGCUAACUACGUGCCAGCAGCCGCGGUAAUACGUAGGGGGCAAGCGUUAUCCGGAUUUACUGGGUGUAAAGGGAGCGUAGACGGCGAUGCAAGUCUGAAGUGAAAGGCGGGGGCCCAACCCCCGGACUGCUUUGGAAACUGU
rnacentral:rRNA from 1 species